UACAUGCAAGUCGAGCGAACAGAUGAGAAGCUUGCUUCUCUGAUGUUAGCGGCGGACGGGUGAGUAACACGUGGGUAACCUACCUAUAAGACUGGGAUAACUCCGGGAAACCGGGGCUAAUACCGGAUAAUAUUUUGAACCGCAUGGUUCAAUAGUGAAAGACGGUUUCGGCUGUCACUUAUAGAUGGACCCGCGCCGUAUUAGCUAGUUGGUAAGGUAACGGCUUACCAAGGCGACGAUACGUAGCCGACCUGAGAGGGUGAUCGGCCACACUGGAACUGAGACACGGUCCAGACUCCUACGGGAGGCAGCAGUAGGGAAUCUUCCGCAAUGGGCGAAAGCCUGACGGAGCAACGCCGCGUGAGUGAUGAAGGUCUUCGGAUCGUAAAACUCUGUUGUUAGGGAAGAACAAAUUUGUUAGUAACUGAACAAGUCUUGACGGUACCUAACCAGAAAGCCACGGCUAACUACGUGCCAGCAGCCGCGGUAAUACGUAGGUGGCAAGCGUUAUCCGGAAUUAUUGGGCGUAAAGCGCGCGUAGGCGGUUUCUUAAGUCUGAUGUGAAAGCCCACGGCUCAACCGUGGAGGGUCAUUGGAAACUGGGAAACUUGAGUGCAGAAGAGGAGAGUGGAAUUCCAUGUGUAGCGGUGAAAUGCGCAGAGAUAUGGAGGAACACCAGUGGCGAAGGCGGCUCUCUGGUCUGUAACUGACGCUGAUGUGCGAAAGCGUGGGGAUCAAACAGGAUUAGAUACCCUGGUAGUCCACGCCGUAAACGAUGAGUGCUAAGUGUUAGGGGGUUUCCGCCCCUUAGUGCUGCAGCUAACGCAUUAAGCACUCCGCCUGGGGAGUACGACCGCAAGGUUGAAACUCAAAGGAAUUGACGGGGACCCGCACAAGCGGUGGAGCAUGUGGUUUAAUUCGAAGCAACGCGAAGAACCUUACCAAAUCUUGACAUCCUUUGACCGCUCUAGAGAUAGAGUCUUCCCCUUCGGGGGACAAAGUGACAGGUGGUGCAUGGUUGUCGUCAGCUCGUGUCGUGAGAUGUUGGGUUAAGUCCCGCAACGAGCGCAACCCUUAAGCUUAGUUGCCAUCAUUAAGUUGGGCACUCUAGGUUGACUGCCGGUGACAAACCGGAGGAAGGUGGGGAUGACGUCAAAUCAUCAUGCCCCUUAUGAUUUGGGCUACACACGUGCUACAAUGGAUAAUACAAAGGGCAGCGAAUCCGCGAGGCCAAGCAAAUCCCAUAAAAUUAUUCUCAGUUCGGAUUGUAGUCUGCAACUCGACUACAUGAAGCUGGAAUCGCUAGUAAUCGUAGAUCAGCAUGCUACGGUGAAUACGUUCCCGGGUCUUGUACACACCGCCCGUCACACCACGAGAGUUUGUAACACCCGAAGCCGGUGGAGUAACCUUUUAG
rnacentral:rRNA from 2 species